CCCCAGCCCGAAGGAUCCCCGGGGGCAGGCGGGAGCCACCAGCGAACGCCAUUGCUAGGUGCUCAAGCCACUUGGUUUUGUGCACACGAAUGCUCUACCAAGUGAGGAUUGUUGCCCUUACUCCGGAGGGAAAGAAACUGAGGCUCCAGAGAGCCAUUUCUGAGCUUCUUGCACCACCUGUAUUUCUGGCAAGCAUCGCUUCUUACAAUUCACACCUUGAUGCAGACACCCAGGAACUAUGAGGAAGGCACACAGAGAUCUAAGGCCUAGUCUUCAAUCUCUUGGUAAUGCAAUGGGUAGAUUUAGGUUGGUUAUAUUUCCCAGUCUUGGAGAAGUGGUCAUAUGUAGGAGAUGUCUUUUGGUGCCCAGAAGUCUACUCCCCAUUGGUAACCAGAUCUGAUGGCUGCCCUCUAUGUGGACUGCAUGUACCUUCUGUUGUGAGCUGACUACUGUGGGCAUGCUUGUAGGCAUAGCCAGUCCCCAGGACAACUGGGGACUCAGGAAGUCCUAAGGCAGCUGGCC